rnacentral:rRNA from 1 species
UACAGAGGUCUCAAGCGUUGUUCGGAUUCAUUGGGCGUAAAGGGUGUGUAGGUGGCGCCGUAAGUCGGGUGUGAAAUUUCGGAGCUUAACUCCGAAACUGCAUUCGAUACUGCCGUGCUAGAGGACUGGAGAGGAGACUGGAAUUUACGGUGUAGCGGUGAAAUGCGUAGAUAUCGUAAGGAAGACCAGUGGCGAAGGCGGGUCUCUGGACAGUUCCUGACGUGAGGCACGAAGGCCAGGGGAGCAAACGGG